rnacentral:lncRNA from 1 species
ACCAUCCUUUGAAUUAGUGACCUUCUCCUCUACUACAUCUUUGCUAUCUACCUCAAUGUUUGAGGGUUCUCUAUUCAAACGCAUUGUUAGAUCUUCAUUCAACAAAUCCAAUUCCUGUACUUGAGACUCACAUUAGGCAAUUUGGUUGUCACGCUCCUCCAACAUCUUCUGCCAUUCUUCUGUCAAUUUCAAAGGUAUCUCUGAAGGUAUUGUCGCUGAAACUGGCAUAUUGGUCUACACUAAAUUAUUGG